rnacentral:rRNA from 1 species
AUGCGUGUGCUGGACUUGGGCGUCUAUGAUGCAGUUCUCGGUGUCGACCGACUAGCACAACAUAGCCCCAUGAAGUGUGAUUGGCAGUUGAAAACAAUGCAAUUCGAGUGUGAUGGGACGGCAGUGCACCUACAGGGAGUUCGAUCGGAUGAAUCACCAACCCUUACUGCUCUGGAUGCCGCUACUCUUUGGCAAAUGCAUGAUGCAAACGAGGUUUGGGGGGCUGCUUUAAUAGAACUCCAAGUGGCACCAAUACCAGAUUCAACAACAACUCAACCACCACCAACUGUGAUCCAACGCAUUCUGACGGAGUUCAGUGAUGUCUUUGCUGAACCUACAAGAUUACCUCCCCACCGUCAAUAUGACCAUGCUAUCACUCUAGAACCGGGGGCCACACCAAUCAACUGUCGGCCGCACCAUUAUUCUCCGUUGCAGAAAGACGAGAUAGAGCAUCAGGUUAAGGAAAUGAUGCGGACAGGGAUCAUUACUCAUAGUAUGAGUCCCUACGCCGCGCCUGUGCUCCUGGUGAAAAAGAAGAUGGGACUUGACGCUUCUGCGUAG